UCCUGCCGGGAAGGAAUGUGGCGGGGCCGUGAGGGGCAGGGCCGGGCCUGCCAGCCUGAGGGACAGCAAAGGACAGCUGGGCACGGGAACCGGCAGCAGCCGCAGCCAAGCGCAUCCGGCGGCUAAAGCUUAAAGCUUGCUCCUUGGAGCUUCUUACUAAAACCUGCCUUUUUGUCAGGUGUUUAUUGGAAAACGGUAAUUUUUCCAAACUAGAGACCACCUGUCAGUUUCAUGGUCUGCACAAGCAACUGUGAUCAGCUCCUUCAGCGAGCACCUGAUCUGCAGAGAGCCGCCUUAUGGAGGAUCCCAAAACUGGCUACACAAGCUUUAACCUCCAGCAGAAAAGCCGAGCAUAACAUUUGGAGGAAGCAAAGUGUUCAGCCUUCAAAACCGAAGGAGAAAAUUUUGCCAGGACGGCUUUUGUUCUCGCGGCGUGGCCAUGGAGCUACAGCGGAAGAUCCUUUCCCCUAGAGGGCAGUGCAACUUAAAGAAUUGAAAUCUCUCCCGGGCGGCGUUCAAAUGGAAAUCAGCUAUGUGAAGAUGUGGUUUUUAUCUCAACAAUGUUAACAGAAAAAUACUCUACAGGGGCGUAUUUUCUGGAAUGAAUCUGUGUAUACAGUACGAUUCUACAUUUCACUUACCUUAUGCCAUUUUUAAGUGAAAUCUACAAAAACCCACCUUUUUUAUCCCCUUCCUUGUUCCUCUAAAUGAAAAGAUCAUUCAUAAUACUGAAAUAAUGUCUGUGACAACAGAUUAUAAUACCCAGGUUUCUAUCUCUAUUGUGAGAGAGAAGUGGAACACAAAAGAAUAAAAUUCUUAGUUCCGAUGGACUGUGCAAGGAUUUUUAAUAGAGAUACCAGAAAUUUAAUGGAAUUCAUAGGCCAUAUUAUUCAAGGACUGACCUAGAUAAAAAAUCUAAUAGAUUUAAAUAGAUAGGAUAAUAAUAGAAUAAUAUAAUAUAAUAAUAGAAUAAAUGU